AGCAGUAGCCACGGUAAUACCAGCACCUCGAGUGGUCAGGAGGUUUAUUGGGCCUAAAGCAUCCGUAGCCGGUUGCAUAAGUUUUCGGUUAAAUCUAUGCGCUUAACGUAUAGGCCGCCGAAAAUACUGUGCAGCUAGGGAGUGGGAGAGGUACACGGUACUCGAUAGGAAGGGGUAAAAUCCUUUGAUCUAUUGAUGACCACCUGUGGCGAAGGCGGUGUACCAGAACACGUUCGACGGUAAGGGAUGAAAGCUGGGGGAGCAAACCGGAUUAGAUACCCGCGUAGUCCCUGUCUCUUAUAC
rnacentral:rRNA from 1 species